GGCUCUUCAAAUAGCCCAGUUGGUUAGAGCGUGGUGCUGAUAACGCCAAGGUUGCAGGUUCGAUUCCCCAUAAGGGACA